UUAUUUGAGAAUUAAAACUCUUGGAAUCACGUUGCCCUGAUUGAUAGCCACCACGCCCCUGAGUCAUUGCAAAGGAUCGAUGGUCUUUCUUCCCUCCCAGUUGGCGCCCCCAACGCCAGCCAGAGAAAGAUUUUUAUACUUCACUCUAAAACCCUAGAUCUCUGCGUGCAUUUCUCGGAGCCGAUUCAAAUUGAUUCCGUGUUGCCGUAGAUUAUUCAAUUUAAAUUCAUUAUAACCGGGAUAAUUAUAUUAGAUUAAUUCAGUACCAAUUUGAGUAUUUUUGUUGUUGUUUGCCAAUACUUCUGCUAUCAAACAUGGCCGAUGGGCAGGUGAUGAAGCGUGCCAAGUAUAAGUCAUCGGUCAAGGACCCCGGUGUUCCUGGCUCCCUUAAAAUGACCAGGGAAAGAAUUGUUUUUAUGCCAAAUGAUCCAAAUUCACCCAGAAAGCUAAAUGUGGAGUUUAGGACGAUUAAAGGGCAUAAAUUUACCAAGGAGGGUUCCAGUAAACAGGCCCUUCUUAAUCUUACACAAGACCAGGGUGGAAAUUAUAUAUUUGAGUUUGAUAGUUUUGCUGAUCGUGAUAUUUGCCGAGAAUUUGUGGCUGCAGCUAUCGCAUUUCAUGGAGAAACUGGAAAAUCUACCUCUGAAAAGCCUGCUGCUGCUCUUCAGGAUGAACAGCUUAGCACAGCAGAAAUGGAGCAUCGGAUUAAGCUACUGCAGGAGGACAACGAAUUGCAGAGGCUUCACAAGCAAUUUGUAAUUGGAGGUAUCCUGACAGAGGCUGAAUUUUGGGCGACAAGGAAGAAAUUACUGGAUCAAAAUGACAGAAGAAAGCCAAAGCAGCGAGUUGCGUUAAAAAACGAAAUGUGGAGUGUGAAACCCUUAUCGGAUGGUCAGUCUAACAGAGUUACAUUCAACUUGACUCCAGAGAUUAUUCAUCAGAUAUUUGCUGAGAAACCGGCUGUUCGCCAAGCAUACCUGAAGUUUGUUCCGAACAAGAUGUCAGAAAAAGAAUUCUGGACCAAAUAUUCAAGAGCAGAAUAUCUCCACAGUACUAAAAAUGUAGUUGCUGCUGCAGCUGAGGCUGCUGAAGAUGAGGAGCUUGCCGUUUUUUUGAAACAAGAUGACAUGUUGACAAAUGAAGCUCGUAGAAAGAUCAGACGUGUCGACCCAACUUUGGACAUGGAAGCUGAUGUAGGCGAUGACUACAUGCAUCUCCCGGAUCACGGGUUACUUCGUGAAGAGAGCAAGGAUGUUUUAGAUUCACAAUAUGAGCCAUACAGAAGAUAUUUCUCACAAGAUCUCAACCAGCAUGCUGCAGUUGUUCUUCAAGGAAGAGUUGUAGAUGUUGAGCUUGGAGACACAAGGUCUGUGGCUGAAGCACUUGCUCGGACAAAACAAGCUGAGUUGGCUAAUGAAGUAUCUGAUGGGAAUUUAGAAAAAGAUCUCUCACACAGAAUAUCUCGAGUAGCCGAGAUUGAGGAUCUUCAGGGGCCUCGAGACCUUGCAGUUGCUCCCCUCUGUAUUAAGGACCCUAGGGACUACUUCGACUCUCAGCAAGCUAAUGCAUUAAAACCAUUAGGAGAUGCUGGUUCUGGUGUAAAGACAUUAAAAUUUAAUGUAAGCUCAGUUGAAGCCUACGGUUCUUUAAGGGAACUUAUAUCAGAGAUUAGAGUCACAGGAUUGAGUGAACCAAUUACAGAUCCAGAAGUUGCCUUUAAGGUUCUCAGUGGGUUGACCCAGAAUAUAUCAAGCACGAAAUACCAUCUUGGAAAGAGCCCACACGAGAGCAUAUUGGAUAGCUUGCCAAAGGUUACUAAAGAGGAUCUUUUACAUCAUUGGACAUCUAUUCAGGAAUUAUUGAAACAUUUCUGGUCAUCAUAUCCAAUUACAACAAAGUAUCUUUAUACAAAGUUUACACUCUUCAUAGGUAACCAGAUUGAAAGAUGCCAUGUCACAAGUAUAUCCAAAGCUACAGGAAAUUAAGGAAUCUGUGCAGUCAGAUUUCCGGCAUCAAGUUUCCUUACUUGUCCAACCAAUGCUUCAGGCUUUAGAUGCUGCCUUUGCACACUAUGAUGCAGAUGUACAGAAAAGGUCUGCUAAGAGUGGAGAAAGACCCAAUGGGUUUAUGUAGCAAAGUUUUCGCGGUUUUUUCAUAUUAUAAGAAAUAUAUGAAGUGUAUAUCUUAUAAAUUUUGUUGAUUUUUCUGCUUUUUGAGAAGAUCUCACUAAUUUUUACAUUGCUAGGCGCUUGCUACAGUGUUACAUGUUCUCAUGAGUUAUGGAAACCAUAAAUGUACCUUAAUUAUCUUUUGUUACCGUUGGGAUUUUGACAGAGCUUCAAUUGAA